GGGUUGUGAGGUUAAGCGACUAAGCGUACACGGUGGAUGCCCUGGCAGUCAGAGGCGAUGAAGGGCGUGCUAAUCUGCGAUAAGCGCCGGUAAGGUGAUAUGAACCGUUAUAACCGGCGAUACCCGAAUGGGGAAACCCAGUGUGAUUCGUCACACUAUCAUUAACUGAAUCCAUAGGUUAAUGAGGCGAACCGGGGGAACUGAAACAUCUAAGUACCCCGAGGAAAAGAAAUCAACCGAGAUUCCCCCAGUAGCGGCGAGCGAACGGGGAGGAGCCCAGAGCCUGAAUCAGCAUGUGUGUUAGUGGAAGCGUCUGGAAAGGCGCGCGAUACAGGGUGACAGCCCCGUACACAAAAGCGCAUGUGUUGUGAGCUCGAUGAGUAGGGCGGGACACGUGGUAUCCUGUCUGAAUAUGGGGGGACCAUCCUCCAAGGCUAAAUACUCCUGACUGACCGAUAGUGAACCAGUACCGUGAGGGAAAGGCGAAAAGAACCCCGGCGAGGGGAGUGAAAAAGAACCUGAAACCGUGUACGUACAAGCAGUGGGAGCACCCUUUGGGGUGUGACUGCGUACCUUUUGUAUAAUGGGUCAGCGACUUAUAUUCUGUAGCAAGGUUAACCGAAUAGGGGAGCCGGAGGGAAACCGAGUCUUAAU
rnacentral:rRNA from 2 species